ensembl:lncRNA
CGCGGGCAAAAUGGGUCAGGGUCCCCCCCAUCUCCCCCGCACCCCCCAGUACCCCUGUGUGGAUUCCUGACAUUUAACAGCCAUGGCACCAACCACUGUGACUGUGCUAAGAGGCUCGGAGGCCUGCUUGGGGUGAACCAGGAAAACUCUCAAGAGGCCAAUUUGCUGCAGCUACAGCAUCUACUGGCAGGAAGUCAGCCCCAACACACACAGGAAGUAUGAGAGAAAUAAGCUCUAGUCUGCAAUGAGAAGAUCAAUGUUCAAACAUGCUACAUGAGCAGGUUCAUCUUCGUCUUUUUCCACUCAAGAACAUAUGUUGGUGAAAUGAAGAAACAUGUAACAACGUGUCUGGUUCUGGUCUUUCGAUUUAGAAUGUUUUAGCGGGAACAUUUCUCUGCACGUGUUUAAGCAGAGUUGUACAAUUCAGAGAAAUAUUCUUUGUCAUAGAAACAAACAAUGAGGAGUACUAAACUUCACUGAUGUUAUACAUAUACUGUAUAUAUAUGA